rnacentral:rRNA from 1 species
UGAGCAAUCUGCCCUUCUCAUCGGAAUAAGCGUUGGAAACGACGUCUAAUGCCGAAUACGACCUCCUUUCGCAUGAUCGGAGGUGGAAAGCUCCGGCGGAGAAGGAUGGGCCCGCGGCCUAUCAGCUUGGUUGGUGGGGUGAUGGCCUACCAAGGCGACGACGGGUAGCCGGCCUGAGAGGGUGACCAGCCACACUGGGACUGAGACACCGGCCCAGACCUCCCGUACGGGGAGGCAG